AGAACGAACGCUGGCGGCAGGCCUAACACAUGCAAGUCGAACGCGACCUUCGGGUCGAGUGGCGCACGGGUGAGUAACGCGUGGGAAUCUGCCCUGUGGUACGGAAUAACAUCGGGAAACUGGUGCUAAAUACCGUAUAUCCCCUGAGGGGGAAAGAUUUAUCGCCAUGGGAGGAGCCCGCGUAGGAUUAGCUAGUUGGUGAGGUAACGGCCUACCAAGGCGACGAUCCUUAGCUGGUCUGAGAGGAUGAUCAGCCACACUGGGACUGAGACACGGCCCAGACUCCUACGGGAGGCAGCAGUGGGGAAUAUUGCACAAUGGGCGGAAGCCUGAUGCAGCGACGCCGCGUGAGGGAUGACGGCCUUCGGGUUGUAAACCGUCUUUCACCCAGGGACGAAGCGCAAGUGACGGUACCUGGAGAAGAAGCGCCGGCCAACUACGUGCCAGCAGCCGC
rnacentral:rRNA from 1 species